rnacentral:rRNA from 1 species
GAGUUUGAUCAUGGCUCAGAACGUACGCUGGCGGCACGCCUUAUACAUGCAAGUCGAACGAAGUAGCAAUGCUUAGUGGCAGACGGGUGAGUAACAUGUAGGUAUCUUCCCUUUGGUGAGGAAUAACACGCAGGAAACUUGUGCUAAUACCUCAUAAGUCUUUACGGAGAAAGCUUUAUGCGCCAAUGGAUGAGCCUGCACUUGAUUAGUUUGUUGGUGGGGUAAUGGCCUACCAAGACUUUGAUCAAUAGCUGAUCUGAGAGGAUGAUCAGCCACAUUGGGACUGAGACACGGCCCAAACUCCUACGGGAGGCAGCAGUAGGGAAUAUUGCACAAUGGAGGAAACUCUGAUGCAGCGAUGCCGCGUGAGUGAAGAAGGCCUUUGGGUUGUAAAGCUCUUUCGUCGGGGAAGAAAAUGACUGUACCCGAAUAAGAAGGUCCGGCUAACUUCGUGCCAGCAGCCGCGGUAAUACGAAGGGACCUAGCGUAGUUCGGAAUUACUGGGCUUAAAGAGUUCGUAGGUUGUUAAAAAAGUUGGUGGUGAAAUCCCAGAGCUUAACUCUGGAACUGCCAUCAAAACUUUUUAGCUAGAGUGUGAUAGAGGAAAGCAGAAUUUCUAGUGUAGAGGUGAAAUUCGUAGAUAUUAGAAAGAAUACCAAUUGCGAAGGCAGCUUUCUGGAUCAUUACUGACACUGAGGAACGAAAGCAUGGGUAGCGAAGAGGAUUAGAUACCCUCGUAGUCCAUGCCGUAAACGAUGUGUGUUAGACGUUGGAAAUUUAUUUUCAGUGUCGCAGCGAAAGCAUUAAACACACCGCCUGGGGAGUACGACCGCAAGGUUAAAACUCAAAUGAAUUGACGGGGACCCGCACAAGUAGUGGAGCAUGUGGUUUAAUUCGAAGAUACGCGCAGAACCUUACCAACACUUGACAUGUUCGUCGCGACUUUAAGAGAUUAAAGUUUUCGGUUCGGCCGGACGAAACACAGGUGCUGCAUGGCUGUCGUCAGCUCGUGUCGUGAGAUGUUGGGUUAAGUCCCGCAACGAGCGCAACCCUCACUUUUAGUUGCCAUCAUUAAGUUGGGCACUCUGAAAGAACUGUCAGUGAUAAGCUGGAGGAAGGUGGGGAUGACGUCAAGUCCUCAUGGCCCUUACGUGUUGGGCUACACACGUGCUACAAUGGCAUUUACAAUAGGAAGCAAGAUGGCGACGUCAAGCAGAUCCUAAAAAUGAUGCCUGCAGUUCGUGAUUGUACUCUGCAACUCGAGUACAUGAAGCUGGAAUUACUAGUAAUCGCGGAUCAGCGCGCCGCGGUGAAUACGU